ensembl:lncRNA
AGAGAAGAUUGUCAAAGUUGUCUAGCUUGGGGAAGCAGUAUUUUUAGCACAGAGGUUCACUUUGGCGCCAGUUGGUUUAUGCUGUUUCUAGAGCAUCAUUCGUUAUGCACUUAAUCCAUGCUUAUCAUACCUCCCUUUAAUGUAAAUAUGUUUUUGGCAGAGGCAGAAUGAAAAGAUUUCACCCUCUGCAUUAUUCUUAUUAGCACCCACCUUUCAUCAAAGCAGGAUCGCUCUGCAAAUGGCAAAUUUGUAAACGGCCAGUGAUUUAGAGAAGUUGGAAGGGAAGCGAGGAGGGAAGGAUGAAGGAAGUGGUGUGUGUGUGUCUGGGGAGCGUGCUUCUUAUACAUCUGUGAAAGGUUUUUUCCCUCUCUCUGUCAGGAAAAGGAACUAAUUGUGGUUUCCUAAUUUCAAACCAAUCUACAUCUUCAAUGGUCUCUUUGUGUGUUUUACCCAGAUUACUUAAAAAAAAAAAAAAAAAGAAACGAAAGAUAAUGCAAUGGAUAUUUCUUAGUCCAGUCGAAAUGAGUUCACUGGGAAGAGGCUGGGAAUUUUUCCUCUCAUCUUAUCUGAUCCAGCAUCUGCAAGGCGCAGAGCCAGAGCUGACUUCGGCCUCAGGCACCGGGCACUGUUGACCACCCAAAAUCUUUCUUCUUUCAACAUCCUCUUUCCAGAUGUCUCAGUCGAGACAGUCUUAUGGGCAAUCUACCCUUUUGCGGGUCUAAGACACAGGGUGUUUAGCAGCUGGUGCCUGGUGGCUCAGAGGUUAAAGCGUCUGCCUGCAGUGUGGGAGACCUGGGUUCGAUCCCUGGGUCGGGAAGAUUCCCCUGGAGAAGGAAAUGGCAACCCAUUCCAGUACUCUUGCCUGGAGAAUCCGAUGGACGGAGGAGCCUGGUGGGCUACAGAGUUGGACAUGACUUCGAGGCUUCACUUUCACUUUCACUUUCACUUUCACCUGUUUCUCUGGUAUGCCUGGCAGGUAGGGAGCUUGCUACCCCAGCUUCCAAGGCCAGGAUUUGGGUUGUGGAUGGAUGCAGGGUCCCGACUCCAGGCCCGUCUGUCACUCUCCCACCCAACACACCUCUCAGAAUUUGCAGUCAAGCACCAGCUCCUUUUCUGCGUCUGAGUUCUGUGAUCACUGACCCUGUACCAGAGCCACUCAGAUAACGGGGCAGGAGUCGCUGCACCUCUGUGUCUUAAUUACCUGACAGUCUGGGGAACCUUUUCCUCCGAGUUAGUAACGACUAGAGACCUCAGCAAUGGGACUUCAUUUUAAGUCAGAGAUGUCUUGCUCCUGACCUAGUCAUCCUGGCCCCCAAGUAAGACAUAAAUCCUGCCCGAGUUUUUAGCAUAUCCAGGGAAUGAACCAGUAGGAGCCACAGUGACAGUUCUCUGGCUCUCAACCAGAGCUGAAGGCUUGG